rnacentral:rRNA from 1 species
UACGGAGGGGGCUAGCGUUGUUCGGAAUUACUGGGCGUAAAGGGCGCGUAGGCGGCCCGCUAAGUCGAACGUGAAAUCCCCAGGCUUAACCUGGGAACUGCGUCCGAUACUGGCAGGCUUGAAUCCGGGAGAGGGAUGUGGAAUUCCAGGUGUAGCGGUGAAAUGCGUAGAUAUCUGGAGGAACACCGGUGGCGAAGGCGGCAUCCUGGACCGGCAUUGACGCUGAGGCGCGAAAGCUAGGGGAGCAAACGGG